UGAGAAGGAGGCCUACUUCUCAACACUCAGAGUUACAUGAUGCGUAGUUAUGGUACAUACAUGUUAAUUGUCUGCAGACGUAUAUGAUAUUAUGAUGAUAUAUAUAGAAGUUUUACAGUUUUGACGUACACAGGUUAUUUAAAUAAAACUCCUGUGUGAUGCUUGAGAUGGCAAGUUCAAUAUAUAGCUCUAAGAGCAAGUUUAAAGUUAUUUCGGCAUGUAACCACUGAGUGCUAUUUGAUACUCAGCCCUGCGUAUGUUUCUAAAUAUGCAGGUUAAGCUGUGAUGUAGAUGGAAGCAAGCAGAGCAAAGCCUUCAGAGUAUAUUAAAUUAGGCUCAGGAUUCCAUGUCUUCAUACAUGUAAUCCACAUGAAUUAUUCCGCUGCAACACUCAGUCUAUUCUACUUUGUUGAUGUGUUGUACAUAUUUUAAAUCAAUAGCUUUGAGAAUUAUAUCACUUGAAAGUUAGACAACUUGUCGUUGUGUAUUGUAAGUUGUCUACUCAUGAGUUUUAAAAGUGAUUGCUUAUGAUUAUCCAAUAUUAAAAUAAUUCAUCGUUAAAGAGGGUUCAUUAUUAUUAUUUAAAGCUCUUUUCGUUUGCAUUUUCUUACUCCCUUUCCCAGUCACACCUUUCCCCGGCUUAAUUCUACACUAGCUUAGGCCGGGCUGUGACAGAGUGGUAUCAGAGCAGGUUGUUUGCUCUGAGCCUAAACAUUCCCUUGAGUCUAGUCUAAAUUUGAAUCUUUAGACUAAAAUGAGUAAUAUAGUAAAAGCUCUGCGCUCCAUCUCAUCCAGCCUAGCCAAGCCAGGUACGGAUUUUCAGAGUUUUAAAGUAGUAUGUUACAUUUUUAAACAAGUUUGAGAUAUGAGUUGCAAUUUUGCAAGUAUUAGUAUGA
rnacentral:lncRNA from 1 species